CGCGAAUGGCUCAUUACAACAGCUAUAAUUUACUUGAUCUUGACACAAUCCUACUUGGAUAACUGUGGUAAUUCUAGAGCUAAUACAUGCAUUAAAGCUCUGACCUCACGGGAAGAGUGCAUUUAUUAGAACAAAACCAAGCGGCUUCGGCUGUUUCUGGUUGACUCAUAGUAACUGAGCUGAUCGCAUGGUCUUGCACCGGCGACGUGUCUUUCAAGUAUCUGCCGUAUCAACUUUCGAUGGUAGUGUAUCUGACUACCAUGGUGAUCACGCGUAACGGAGAAUAAGGGUUCGGCUCCGGAGAGUUCGCCUGAGAAAUCGCGAACACAUCUAAGGAAGGCAGCAGGCGCGAAAAUUACCCACUCUCAGCACGAGGAGGUAGUGACGAAAAAUAACGAGACCGUUCUCUUAUGAGGCCGGUCAUCGGAAUGGGUACAAUUUAAACCCUUUAACGAGUAUCUAUGAGAGGGCAAGUCUGGCGCCAGCAGCCGCGGUAAUUCCAGCU
rnacentral:rRNA from 1 species